GUCCCUUCCAAUCUCAAUCAUUCCAUGAUUCUCUGUGAUUCUAUACAGAAAAUGUAGGUUUAAUUAGCAAUAUAUAUGGAUAAAUUGUGGGAAAUGUAGAAAAAGCAGGCUUAAAUAGAAAUGUGGUUAAGACUCGUGAGACUACAGGAAGGGAGCUCUGAUGACAAGAGAAAUGUGGAGGAUAAGAGUCACCAUGGAGCCUAAGGCAUACAUAAACAACAAGAGGAGAUAAGAGCAAGGACUGCUACAAGGCCCAAGAAAGAGGAAAGUAAUGAAGUGUUGACCAAAACCUGGCACGGGAACAGGAGGUUGCAAUAAGGUACCUACCAGUCUGAGAAAUACAAGGAUCAAAGGACUGUAAAGGGGGGCUGAAGAGGUUUGUGGAAGGAAACCCUCUGGAAGUAAAGUGU